rnacentral:lncRNA from 1 species
CUGCGUCUUGAAAUUGAGUAAAUGGAGGAGUGGCCAGUGAUUGACCAAACCCACUGUAUGGAUUGAUAAUGAACGCAUAUAGCGAGCAAGAUCAUUGGUGGUAUUAUCAAGGUAAAUAAGUGAUUCUCCAAAAAAUGGUGACUACUAAUUUUCAAGGCUUCUCUUGUUAUACAUGUAAUUCAACAAACCAUAUGAAUUCAUGUCUAAUACAAGUGAUAAAUUAAAUCAAAAUUCCUUUAAGUUUCCUCAAGAUUUUCUAGUUCUUAGAUCUCUAUUACUAAUUGUUGUUUCGAUUAUUUUAGUUACUUCUUUUUCGAUUAUUGUCACUAUUUGUUGCUACUCCUUUCUUUUUUGAGCCAAGUGUCUAUCGAAAAUAAUCUCUCUACUUUCACCAGGCGUGUACACAUUACCCUCUCCAGACCCCAAACUUAUGGGAUUAUAUUGGUUUUGUUGUGUUGCUUACUUCAUUUUGAUCUUUGAGUUUCUAACUACCCUGCAUUUGAUAGGUAACAUUGAUGAAUAUUCUCGUUUUCCGAAAUUCUAGAGCAUAGUUGAAUGGACUAGAGGGGUUGCUCUCAUGGUUAGCAACCCUCACUUUCAAUAGAGAGGUUGUGAGUUCGACUCUUCCCAAGAGCAAGGUGAGAAGUUCUUGAGGGAAGGAUGCCGGGGGUCUAUUUGGAAACAACCUCUCUACUCCAGGGUAGGGGUAAGGUCUGUGUACACACUACCCUCCCAAACUCCACUAAGUGAGAUUAUACUGGGUUGUUGUUGUUGUUGUUGUUGUGGGUUGUUGUUGUUGUUGUUAGUUAAAUGGAUAUUAUAUUAUCACCUUCCAACUUCAUUUUAUCUGGUUGUGUUAGGAGUAUUUCCUUUCCUUUUUUGAGUCAACCUGAGCGUGUUAAAGCCGAGCGUGACAUUAUGCUUAUACUUUGAACUGUUAAUAUAUUGCUCGGAGUAAUUCUUUGUUAAUUGUGGAUUUGUCAGUAUAUAGAUUUUGAUGGUAGAAAGUCUGAGGCAUGGCUCUAUCAAUUUUCAUCUUCUCUACCAAAUUCCUCAGCUUAAUAAAUUUUACUUGAUUACACCACUUUCAGGUUUUCGUCCAAAUAUCAGAAGAAACCAGAAAGCAGUGUUUGACAGAAUGGAAGUAUUUUGCUCGAAAUCAGAAAUCAGUAUGUAUUUGUGCUCUCUUCAAAG